AUCGAACGCUGGCGGCAGGCCUAACACAUGCAAGUCGAGCGGAUGAAGGGAGCUUGCUCCUGGAUUCAGCGGCGGACGGGUGAGUAAUGCCUAGGAAUCUGCCUGGUAGUGGGGGAUAACGUCCGGAAACGGGCGCUAAUACCGCAUACGUCCUGAGGGAGAAAGUGGGGGAUCUUCGGACCUCACGCUAUCAGAUGAGCCUAGGUCGGAUUAGCUAGUUGGUGGGGUAAAGGCCUACCAAGGCGACGAUCCGUAACUGGUCUGAGAGGAUGAUCAGUCACACUGGAACUGAGACACGGUCCAGACUCCUACGGGAGGCAGCAGUGGGGAAUAUUGGACAAUGGGCGAAAGCCUGAUCCAGCCAUGCCGCGUGUGUGAAGAAGGUCUUCGGAUUGUAAAGCACUUUAAGUUGGGAGGAAGGGCAGUAAGUUAAUACCUUGCUGUUUUGACGUUACCAACAGAAUAAGCACCGGCUAACUUCGU
rnacentral:rRNA from 1 species